CUGAUUAGCUGCUCCCCCUGUGCAAAGGUCAGAGGGGGCAGGGUUUCUGUUGAGGCAGGUGAUUAGCUGUGGGAGGAGCUUAUCAGAGUUUGCAGGGCAGCAGCUGAAGAAGCAGCAAAAAGGGUUUUCGUGUGUGUGUGUGUGUGUGUGUGUGUGUGUUUCUUUGUGGCUGAUUAGCUGCUCUCCCUGUGCAAAGGUCAGAGGGGGCAGGGUUUCUGUUCAGGCAGGGGAUUAGCUGUGGGAGGAGCUUAUCAGAGCUUGCAGGGCAGCAGCUGAAGAAGGAGCAAAAGAGUUUUCUUGUGUGUGUCAGCGCGCGCAGUUUGAUCCAUCUUUUAGAUUUAGGGGAGCUAGCCUCAAACGUUUGUUGGGGGAGACCUAGGUUUUUUUGGGGGGGAGUUAUUUGUCCUGUCUUCACACUUUUUAUGAUGGAGGACCGUUGUAGCCACCCCCUAUGACACGUUCUCAAGAUGGAGGGUGAGGGAACAGCUGCAGUCGCCUGCGGUUCCUGCGCAAUGUUUGCCAUCUUGCCAAAGGUUGCAGGCAGCUUUACCUGCAGCAAUUGCAUGUUGAUUGCCCUCUUAAAAGACAAAGUCCAGCAACUGGAGGAACGUGUAGCUACGCUCCAAAGAAUUAGAGAGCUGGAGCUCUUCUUCGAAGCAACAGAGCACACCGUCUCCACCAAGGAGGAGACAGGGGACUCCCCUGAGAAGGAG